rnacentral:ncRNA from 1 species
CACAGGACUUAAACUAACUUGAGUGCCCGGUUGGAAACAACCGGAGUAGAACCGCUUAAAUUCGGGGAAGCCUUACAGAGAAUGUUGGUAAUCCCGAGCCAAGUUCCGGAUCAAACCGGAAAAGGUGUAGAGACUUAACAGGCGGUACCUUCCUUCGUGGAAGAAGAUGGUAAAGAGAAAGUCCAGACCACAAAUUUCUGCGCA